rnacentral:rRNA from 1 species
UACGUAGGGUGCAAGCGUUGUCCGGAAUUAUUGGGCGUAAAGAGCUCGUAGGCGGUUUGUCGCGUCUGCUGUGAAAACUCAGGGCUUAACCCUGAGCCUGCAGUGGGUACGGGCAGACUAGAGUGUGGUAGGGGAGAUCGGAAUUCCUGGUGUAGCGGUGGAAUGCGCAGAUAUCAGGAGGAACACCGGUGGCGAAGGCGGAUCUCUGGGCCAUAACUGACGCUGAGGAGCGAAAGUGUGGGGAGCGAACAGG